rnacentral:rRNA from 1 species
UACGGAGGGUGCGAGCGUUGUCCGGAAUCACUGGGCGUAAAGGGCGCGUAGGCGGCCUGAUAAGUCGGGGGUGAAAUCCUGCGGCUUAACCGCAGGGCUGCCUUCUAAACUGUCAGGCUUGAGCACAGUAGAGGCAGGUGGAAUUCCCGGUGUAGCGGUGGAAUGCGUGGAGAUCGGGAAGAACAUCAGUGGCGAAGGCGGCCUGCUGGGCUGUUGCUGACGCUGAGGCGCGACAGCGUGGGGAGCAAACAGG